rnacentral:rRNA from 1 species
UACGUAGGGGGCUAGCGUUGUCCGGAAUCAUUGGGCGUAAAGCGCGUGUAGGCGGCCCGGUAAGUCCGCUCUGAAAGUCGGGGGCUCAACCCUCGGAUGCGGGUGGAUACUGUCGGGCUUGAGGGCGAGAGAGGAGGGUGGAAUUCCUGGUGUAGCGGUGAAAUGCGUAGAGAUCAGGAGGAACACCCGGGGCGAAGGCGGCCCUCUGGCUCGACCCUGACGCUGAGGCGCGAAAGCGUGGGGAGCGAACGGG